rnacentral:rRNA from 1 species
UACGUAGGGGGCAAGCGUUGUCCGGAAUCAUUGGGCGUAAAGCGCGCGUAGGCGGCCCGGUAAGUCCGCUCUGAAAGUCCAGGGCUUAACCCUGGAAAGCGGGUGGAUACUGCCGGGCUUGAAUCCGGAAGAGGCGAGUGGAAUUCCUGGUGUAGCGGUGGAAUGCGCAGAUAUCAGGAAGAACACCGGUGGCGAAGGCGGGUCUCUGGGCAGUAACUGACGCUGAGGAGCGAAAGCGUGGGGAGCAAACAGG